rnacentral:rRNA from 1 species
UACGGGGGGGCAAGGCGUUGUUCGGAAUUACUGGGCGUAAAAGGGCUCGUAGGCGGCCUAACUAAGUCAGACGUGAAAUCCCUCGGCUUAACCGGGGAACUGCAUCUGAUACUGGAUGGCUUGAGUUCGGGAGAGGGAUGCGGAAUUCCAGGUGUAGCGGUGAAAUGCGCAGAUAUCAGGAGGAACACCGGUGGCGAAGGCGGUUCUCUGGGCCUGUACUGACGCUGAGGAGCGAAAGCGUGGGGGAGCAAACAGG